AACGAACGCUGGCGGCAUGCCUAACACAUGCAAGUCGAACGAGACCUUCGGGUCUAGUGGCGCACGGGUGUGUAACGCGUGGGAACCUGCCCUUAGGUUCGGAAUAACUCCCCGAAAGGGGUGCUAAUACCGGAUAAUGUCUUCGGACCAAAGAUUUAUCGCCUUUGGAUGGGCCCGCGUUGGAUUAGCUAGUUGGUAGGGUAAAAGCCUACCAAGGCGACGAUCCAUAGCUGGUCUGAGAGGAUGAUCAGCCACACUGGGACUGAGACACGGCCCAGACUCCUACGGGAGGCAGCAGUGGGGAAUAUUGGACAAUGGGCGAAAGCCUGAUCCAGCAAUGCCGCGUGAGUGAUGAAGGCCUUAGGGUUGUAAAGCUCUUUUACCCGGGAUGAUAAUGACAGUACCGGGAGAAUAAGCUCCGGCUAACUCCGU
rnacentral:rRNA from 1 species